AUGGUGGGACCUGGGGCCACCCAGUGCCAUCCUGGGCUGGUGGGACCUGGUGGCCACCAGCAUCAUCCCCAUCCAGGGCUGGUGGGAUCUGGUGGCCACCCGUGUCCAUCCUCAUCCUGGGUUGGUGGCACUUGGGAGGGAGCACCCAGUGUCAUCCUGGGCUGGUGGAGCUGGGGCCACCAGGGUCAUCACCAGCCCAGGAUGGUGGACUCGGGGCCACCAGCAUCAUCCCUACCCCAGGUUGGUGGAGCUGGGACCACCAGGGUCAUCCCCAUCCAGGGCUGGUGGGACCUGGUGGUCACCCAGCAUUGUCCCCAUCCAGGGCUGGUGGGACCUGGUGGCCACCAGCAUUGUCCCCAUCCUGGGAUGGUGGGACCUGGGGCCACCCAGUGCCAUCCUGGGCUGGUGGGACCUGGUGGCCACCAGCAUCAUCCCCAUCCAGGGCUGGUGGGAUCUGGUGGCCACCCGUGUCCAUCCUCAUCCUGGGUUGGUGGCACUUGGGAGGGAGCACCCAGUGUCAUCCUGGGCUGGUGGAGCUGGGGCCACCAGGGUCAUCACCAGCCCAGGAUGGUGGACUCGGGGCCACCAGCAUCAUCCCUACCCCAGGUUGGUGGAGCUGGGACCACCAGGGUCAUCCCCAUCCAGGGCUGGUGGGACCUGGUGGUCACCCAGCAUUGUCCCCAUCCAGGGCUGGUGGGACCUGGUGGCCACCAGCAUUGUCCCCAUCCUGGGAUGGUGGGACCUGGGGCCACCCAGUGCCAUCCUGGGCUGGUGGGACCUGGUGGCCACCAGCAUCAUCCCCAUCCAGGGCUGGUGGGGUCUGGUGGCCACCCGUGUCCAUCCUCACCCUGGGUUGGUGGGACUUGUGGGGGAGCACCCAGCACCAUCCUGGGCUGGUGGACCUGGAGGCCACCAGGGUCAUCACCAGCCCAGGAUGGUGGACUCGGGGCCACCAGCAUCAUCCCUACCCCAGGUUGGUGGAGCUGGGACCACCAGGGUCAUCCCCAUCCAGGGCUGGUGGGACCUGGUGGCCACCCAGCAUUGUCCCCAUCCAGGGCUGGUGGGACCUGGUGGCCACCAGCAUUGUCCCCAUCCUGGGAUGGUGGGACCUGGGGCCACCCAGUGCCAUCCUGGGCUGGUGGGACCUGGUGGCCACCAGCAUCAUCCCCAUCCAGGGCUGGUGGGGUCUGGUGGCCACCCGUGUCCAUCCUCACCCUGGGUUGGUGGGACUUGUGGGGGAGCACCCAGCACCAUCCUGGGCUGGUGGACCUGGAGGCCACCAGGGUCAUCACCAGCCCAGGAUGGUGGACUCGGGGCCACCAGCAUCAUCCCUACCCCAGGUUGGUGGAGCUGGGACCACCAGGGUCAUCCCCAUCCAGGGCUGGUGGGACCUGGUGGCCACCAAGCAUUGUCCCCAUCCAGGGCUGGUGGGACCUGGUGGCCACCAGCAUUGUCCCCAUCCUGGGAUGGUGGGACCUGGGGCCACCCAGUGCCAUCCUGGGCUGGUGGGACCUGGUGGCCACCAGCAUCAUCCCCAUCCAGGGCUGGUGGGGUCUGGUGGCCACCCGUGUCCAUCCUCACCCUGGGUUGGUGGGACUUGUGGGGGAGCACCCAGCACCAUCCUGGGCUGGUGGACCUGGAGGCCACCAGGGUCAUCACCAGCCCAGGAUGGUGGACUCGGGGCCACCAGCAUCAUCCCUACCCCAGGUUGGUGGAGCUGGGACCACCAGGGUCAUCCCCAUCCAGGGCUGGUGGGACCUGGUGGUCACCCAGCAUUGUCCCCAUCCAGGGCUGGUGGGACCUGGUGGCCACCAGCAUUGUCCCCAUCCUGGGAUGGUGGGACCUGGGGCCACCCAGUGCCAUCCUGGGCUGGUGGGACCUGGUGGCCACCAGCAUCAUCCCCAUCCAGGGCUGGUGGGGUCUGGUGGCCACCCGUGUCCAUCCUCACCCUGGGUUGGUGGGACUUGUGGGGGAGCACCCAGCACCAUCCUGGGCUGGUGGACCUGGAGGCCACCAGGGUCAUCACCAGCCCAGGAUGGUGGACUCGGGGCCACCAGCAUCAUCCCUACCCCAGGUUGGUGGAGCUGGGACCACCAGGGUCAUCCCCAUCCAGGGCUGGUGGGACCUGGUGGUCACCCAGCAUUGUCCCCAUCCAGGGCUGGUGGGACCUGGUGGCCACCAGCAUUGUCCCCAUCCUGGGAUGGUGGGACCUGGGGCCACCCAGUGCCAUCCUGGGCUGGUGGGACCUGGUGGCCACCAGCAUCAUCCCCAUCCAGGGCUGGUGGGGUCUGGUGGCCACCCGUGUCCAUCCUCACCCUGGGUUGGUGGGACUUGUGGGGGAGCACCCAGCACCAUCCUGGGCUGGUGGACCUGGAGGCCACCAGGGUCAUCACCAGCCCAGGAUGGUGGACUCGGGGCCACCAGCAUCAUCCCUACCCCAGGUUGGUGGAGCUGGGACCACCAGGGUCAUCCCCAUCCAGGGCUGGUGGGACCUGGUGGUCACCCAGCAUUGUCCCCAUCCAGGGCUGGUGGGACCUGGUGGCCACCAGCAUUGUCCCCAUCCUGGGAUGGUGGGACCUGGGGCCACCCAGUGCCAUCCUGGGCUGGUGGGACCUGGUGGCCACCAGCAUCAUCCCCAUCCAGGGCUGGUGGGGUCUGGUGGCCACCCGUGUCCAUCCUCACCCUGGGUUGGUGGGACUUGUGGGGGAGCACCCAGCACCAUCCUGGGCUGGUGGACCUGGAGGCCACCAGGGUCAUCACCAGCCCAGGAUGGUGGACUCGGGGCCACCAGCAUCAUCCCUACCCCAGGUUGGUGGAGCUGGGACCACCAGGGUCAUCCCCAUCCAGGGCUGGUGGGACCUGGUGGUCACCCAGCAUUGUCCCCAUCCAGGGCUGGUGGGACCUGGUGGCCACCAGCAUUGUCCCCAUCCUGGGAUGGUGGGACCUGGGGCCACCCAGUGCCAUCCUGGGCUGGUGGGACCUGGUGGCCACCAGCAUCAUCCCCAUCCAGGGCUGGUGGGGUCUGGUGGCCACCCGUGUCCAUCCUCACCCUGGGUUGGUGGGACUUGUGGGGGAGCACCCAGCACCAUCCUGGGCUGGUGGACCUGGAGGCCACCAGGGUCAUCACCAGCCCAGGAUGGUGGACUCGGGGCCACCAGCAUCAUCCCUACCCCAGGUUGGUGGAGCUGGGACCACCAGGGUCAUCCCCAUCCAGGGCUG
rnacentral:lncRNA from 1 species